GUUUAAUUCAACAAUUUAUAAAUCACUGUGGAAAGCUUGUCACUGUUGUAAGUACUGCCCUCUUCAUCCUUUUACACAGAUGAAUACUGCAGUUUUUUGGAUUCAGAUACAAAAACAAACUUAAUGUUUACCAAUUCAAAUGCAUGAAUAACUGAAGGACGACAUUACUACGCAAGGGAAGGAAUUUAAACGUGAAACGUGAAACAGUUUGGAAACCCAGCAAGCUUAGCUCUCCUUUACAAAGACCAGUGAAGUCAUGUCUCUUUACGAGCGCGCGCGACACUAUCGUUCCCAUUCCCUCAAGCCUCUCACUC